UACAGAGGGUGCGAGCGUUAAUCGGAAUUACUGGGCGUAAAGGGUGUGCAGGCGGGCUGUUAAGUGGUGUAUGAAAUCGCCGGGCUCAACCGGGCGAGGUUAUGCCAGACUGGCAGUCUAGAGAGCGAGAGAGGGACGUGGAAUUCCGGGUGUAGUGGUGAAAUGCGUAGAGAUCCGGAGGAACCCCAGAGGCGAAGGCGGCGUCCUGGCUCGCAUCUGACGCUCAGACACGACAGCAUGGGGAGCGAACGGG
rnacentral:rRNA from 1 species